CUAAUAUGAAUACCUCAAGAGCUCACUCUCUCUGGGCUCUGUCUAAGUGGUGCAAGAGAGCAUAGGGCUCUUUCUCCAAAUGUAUAGACCUUUCCACAAUAUUGGAGAAGCUGAGCCUUGAGUGUGUACCUGCAUAUUCCUACAACUUCUCAGAGUCCAUGGACAAUGACUGAGAAGACAAACCAUGCAAGAAACAGUA
rnacentral:snoRNA from 1 species